UACGUAGGGGGCAAGCGUUGUCCGGAAUUAUUGGGCGUAAAGAGCGCGUAGGCGGUCUGAUAAGUCGGUUGUGAAAGUCGGGGGGCUCAACCCUCGGAUGCCGAUCGAUACUGUCAGGCUAGAGUCCGGAAGAGGAGAGUGGAAUUCCUGGUGUAGCGGUGAAAUGCGCAGAUAUCAGGAGGAACACCAAUGGCGAAGGCAGCUCGCUGGAACGGUACUGACGCUGAGGCGCGAAAGCGUGGGGAGCGAACAGG
rnacentral:rRNA from 1 species